rnacentral:rRNA from 1 species
AGCGAACGCUGGCGGCAGGCCUAACACAUGCCAGUCGAACGAACUCUUCGGAGUUAGUGGCGGACGGGUGAGUAACACGUGGGAACGUGCCUUUUGGUUCGGAAUAACUCAGGGAAACUUGUGCUAAUACCGAAUGUGCCCUUCGGGGGAAAGAUUUAUCGCCAUUAGAGCGGCCCGCGUCUGAUUAGCUAGUUGGUGAGGUAACGGCUCACCAAGGCGACGAUCAGUAGCUGGUCUGAGAGGAUGGCCAGCCACACUGGGACUGAGACACGGCCCAGACUCCUACGGGAGGCAGCAGUGGGGAAUCUUGCGCAAUGGGCGAAAGCCUGACGCAGCCAUGCCGCGUGAAUGAUGAAGGUCUUAGGAUUGUAAAAUUCUUUCACCGGGGACGAUAAUGACGGUACCCGGAGAAGAAGCCCCGGCUAACUUCGUG